CCAUUCGUGCGUGCAGUUUAAAUAAAUUUCGGUACUUUUUUAUGUUCAAUGAUGAUUUCUCUCACAAGAAAUGGGUGUUUAUGAUGUAUGAUAGAUCUGAAGUGCUUACUAUGUUUAAAUCUUUUCAUGUUGCAGUUAGAAUUGGAUUUAAACUAAAAUUCAAUGUUUCUGUUCUGAUAAUGCCUUAAAAGUAUUUGUCUAACUCCUUUCACGAGUAUCAUACCUCAGCUAGUAUUACACGUCAAACAUCAUGUGUCUACACACCUGAAUAAAGGAAAAAAAGUCACCUCCUCAAGGUGGCGAGGUCUCUUUUGACCUACAUGAAUGCUCCCAAAUGUUUCUAGAGCCAUACUAUUCUUACUGCGUGCAUCUCAUUAACCGGCAACCAUCUACUAUCCUCGAUGGCAAAAUUCCAUUUUUUGUGCUAUUUCCAAAUGAAUCUCCAUUUCCUCUGCCGGUUCGAGUUUUUGGUUGCCCUUCCUUUGUCAAGAAACAUGGCUCUCAUUAGAUAAGCUAGAUAUUCGUGCAACCAAGUCUGUCUUCCUGGGAUAUUCUCAAAUGCAAAAAAGUUACAACUGUUUCGAUCCUGUAACAAACCGUUGACACAUUGGAACUGAUGGAACCUUUUUCGAAUCAACUCUCUACUUUCCUACUUGUCGGGAGGGGGAGUUGGGAUUUUGCCUUUUCUGGUGCAACACCUCUGCCAUUGGAUUCCACAAUUUCAUACCCUAUAUUACAGCUCCAAUGGUCCAUGGUGAUUGUCUAAGACCAUCCAGCUCAUUCUCUCCCCCCUUACCUUUGAGUGAGGCCCCUGCUUCAUAACCGUCGCCAGACAUGGACCUGCCCAUAGCCCUUCGAAAAGCUGAAUGUCAAGAAUGCCUUGCUCAAUGGGGACUAGACUGAAGAAGUUUAUAUGGAGCAACCUCUUGGAUUUGUUGCUCAAGAGGAGAAUGAGAGAGUGCGCAAGCUUCAGAAGGCAGGCUAUGGACUGAAGCAAUCCCUCAGAGCAUAGUUUGAAAGAUUCAGUCAUGUGUUGAUAGAUUUUGGAUUCCACAAAUGCCAUGUGGAUCACUUUGUGGUUAAGCAAAGCUCCAAAGUAUGGUGAUGCUAAUCGUUUAUGUAAAUGAUAUAAUUAUCACUGGAAUCGAUGAAGGAGGUAUAUUAGAAACCAAGAAUAAUAUCAAGGAUCAUUUUCAGAUCAAGCACCUUGGCUCUCUUAAGGUAUUUCUUAGUGAUUGAACUAGCCUGAUCCUCAGCUGGGAUCAACUUAUCUCGAAGGAAAUGCAUACUAGACUGAUUGGAAGAAAUAAUCUUCGUGUUGGUAUAAAGAUUGAAAAAGAGAAGAAAGAAAUAGAAAAUAGGAGAGAAAAGAAAAGAAAAAGAA